GGUUCUUUGAAGUAAAAUUAAGAAUCUAUCCUGCCCGGUGAUGAAUUAAACGGCCGCGAUAAUUUAAUCGUGCAAAGGUAGCAUAAUCAAUUGUCUAUUAAUUGUGGACUGGAAUGAAUGGUUUAACUAAAGAUUAAUUGUUUUUAUUAUAAGAUGAAUUUUUUAUUUUUGUGAAGAAGCAAAAUUGAAGUAAAUAGACGAGAAGACCCUAUUAAGCUUAAUAAUUAAAAUUGAGGUAAAUAAUAGGGAAAGAAAAAAUUAAUAUUAUUUUACUGGGGUGGUAAAAUUAAGAAACAAUUAUAAAGGAAAGUACUUUCUAGUAAUAAAUGAUCCAAUAAUAUUGAAGAAGGACUAAGUUACUAUAGGGAUAACAGCGUAAUUUUAUUUUGAAGUUCAAAUUUAUGAUAAAGUUUGCGACCUCGAUGUUGGUUUAGGAGACCUAUUAGAUGAAGAAGAAUAAAAAGGUAGUCUGUUCGACUAUUAAAAUCCUAUA
rnacentral:rRNA from 1 species